GUCAGAUGCUCAGCUGACUGAGCACCCAGGCGCCCCCAGGCCUCUUUAGCCCCCUCUGGGAAGGCGUGGAGAGGGGUCCAUGUUGCUUUCUCCCUGAGGACCAGUCUUGCUGCAAAAGCCUUUGCAGCCGCUUUCUGUCCCAGGUGACCAUCUUCUCCCCAUGAUGACCUGAGCACAGCUGUUCCUGGCUCUGCCUUACUUCCGUCUCUGCCCCGCUCCCGCACCCCUAGGUCUUACAAAAGCGUCACCAUUACUUAGGUAUUUCGUAGAGAAAUUUUGCUUUCAGACUAAUGAAUAGGUUUCAAAGAAAUGAAUGAAAGCCAUUCUUUUCUUCUCUUUCCUCAUUAAGUGAUUUGCUGUACGUCUGGAAAAUACUGUUUAUAUUCAAAGGGAGAAAUAUUUAGAGAGCAAACUACCUUCACCUUUUCCUAACUGCCCUUGGAAAACAAGAAAACAGCAGCUUGUUCUCCUCUUGUUGUGCUGUGACCUGCCCCUCCUCUCCCGGUGCUCCCCCUCAGCCCCCGUUCUUCAUAACACCCCUCCUUAGCUACAAGAACAGGUUAUCAAGGUGAUAAUAAGUGAGAAAAUGUUCCAGCCUUGUUUUAAGCCUCAGCCACAUUACACCGCUUAAAAGAGGUUAAAUGCUUGUAUGAACCUGUGUUUUCCAUCCCCCGCCCUGGCCAUGCAGCCCUAAGCCAGACUGAUCCGGCCUCGUCUUGCCCCCUCGUCACAAGAGACUCCGUGGUGCAGGAUGAUUGAGGUGGCCUCAGCCUCCCUAGCAGCUGCUGACUUGCACUUGGAAAUGCAAUCCUCUCAAGGGUGGUCAAAGUCGGCCCGCGGGAGCUGCAGGACUGAAACCAAGAAUGUCGUCAUUAAUUCAAAGAUACCUGAAGGCAGAGGAGAGAACCUUUUGGCUUUGGGUCCAUAACUCAGUUUUGCAGUAGGGAAGACCAGAACAGGCUCGUGAAGAGAUUUACCAUGAAGAGGCCAGUGUACCGUUUCCUGGGCAAGCUUCGUUGUGUCUUGCUCUGUUCUGAGCAUCAUUAGAGCCCUCGUUUGAGACAAAUGGGCUCCAUCAUUUCUUCACCAUUCAGGCCCGUAGGAGGAAGAUGGCACGUGAGUGAAGCUUCGACAUGGCAGUCACCUUCCCUUUAUUUCUGCUCUCCCUUCUUUUUGGGUAAUGAAUCGGGGUGUCGUUAGCUGCCUGCCUUGUGUUCAUCACUGUCAGUACUGGCAGGGUAACAGAUAAUGGCAGAGAUUCAAGGCCACCCAGGGAAUGAAGCCUGACAGGACCUCAUUUAUCACUCCCCUUUUAGGGGGUCUCUGUGGUAGAGCUAGCAUCAAAGCUGUAAUCGAAGCUCACCAGGUCGCACAGGGGCCAGGCAGGAUUGCUCCGCCAAAAAGCAACUGGAGCUGUCAAAUCUGUUUUGUAAAUGAAGUGCUUUUCUAGAGACAGUGUUGUUUAUAAUUGUCAUUCUGUACGUAGUCCCUCAAUAUCCAAGAGCUGUUCUCCAUGUUCUCCCUCUCAUUUCUUUCCGACAAAUGAAACUUACAUUCUGUAGAGAAAAGGUAAGCCAGAAAAUGGAUUUCUUUGACCUUGGCUAUACCACAGCAUACUCUAGUUCUGAGGUUUAUCUUUUUGCCCUCAAGGAUUUGAGUGUCACCUACUUGAGCAGCUCAAUUAUUGAGAGCAGGUGGGAACGGCCUGACUUGAGAACUGCCUCUUCCCUGGGCAAGUCUAUUUCAAGGCUAACCUUCAUCCAUAUAUGUCAACAACUUCCAGGUUUACAUAAGCAGCCAGCUCAGUCCUGUAUUCUCCAUUCCAGAACCAUAUGUCCAAGUCUCUACUUGGAGAUUCCACAGGCCCCUCAGAUCCAUAUCCCAGACAGGAUAGAUCAUGUCGACUCCAAAUCUGCUUCCCAUCUGUAUUCUCAUCCUGAAGAAAUGCACCAUCUUCCAACAGGAGAAGAAAAGCAUCCGAGAUGCUUUGCUCAUUUUUACCCUUCUCUAAAAUCUAAUCAAAACGAAAUUUGUUGGAACCAAUUCCUAAGUAUCUCCUCCAUCUCCUUGUCCCACCUAGAUCUUUUCAAUAGCUUUCUUAUUGCUCUUCCUGCACUUACAAUCCCUCCAUAUUGAAUGACCUGCCUGCCCUAGAAGAUGCUAGUCCUUUAAUGUUUCUGUGCCUUUUUGCAUGCUGUUUCCUCUUCCAGGACUGUUCUCCCAAUACAUGCUCACUCAGCAGAUUCUAUUCACUAUUUAAUUCUCAGUGCAGGGACUUUGUUAUCUGUAAAAAUGUCUCCAACUCUCUUCCAGUCAUUUACUACUUGUUUUAAGGUUGUUGUUGUUGUUGUUGUUGUUGUUGUUUUUCUUUCAUGCCUCCUUUCCACCCCGGUGCAAAUGUUAUUUACUGAGAGCUCCCAACUGUCAGGUACUGUAUUAGUUUCUUUACAUAGUUGUAUUUAAUUCCCAAGUUAGCCUGUAUGAUAGAUACUGUGAGACCAUUUGUACAGAUGAUGAAACCAAGGUUCAGACUGAUAAAAUAGUUUCCCCAAAUUCAUACAUGUAGUAAACGGUGGUAAUGGGCUUCACCUCCAAGCUGCUGCUCUUCCCAUUGUUUUAAACUGUAUCUGCUCAUGCGUUGAGAAUAAGCACUGUGUGUUUUUGUUUUCAUUUUCCGAGUGCUGAACACAGUGUUUGGUAGGAUAGACAUUCAACAGGUAGUUACAGAAUGAAUGAAACUCAUAAAAGACUCCGUCUAUUUAUACCCACAAGGUACAUUGUCUCUGUUUUUCACAACAACCCUGAAUUACUGGCAUUGAUUUGCCCAAUUUUUACAGCAGUGGAAACUGAAGCUCACGCAGUUAAAUGACUUUGCUAAGGUCAUAUAUGAGGCCGAGUCAACGCUUUCUUUCUCUAUAGCCCAUAUUCUCAACACGGCACGCUAGCUUUCAAAGAGUGACUUCUCCGAUGGCAAUGAAUGAAUCGGCAUCAAGAAAGGGAUAUAGAGAGAUUAAGAACGUAUGAUUCAGGUUCAAAUGCAUUCCUGUGCCCUUCAAGGCUUUCUGUAGUUUCCUUAUAUUCUUUCCAGCCAGCUUUCUCUAACACAACUCUGAGACAUCCAUUUUCCUUCUGUUCAGUUAGACUAGCGUCUUCACGUGCCCUCUGACACAUCAUGCCUGUUUCUGAUCUCCGAUUUUACUCACACUCCUUCCACUGCCUGAAGUGCCCUUCUCUCCUGCUGCACCCAGCCAAAUCCAUACAUCUCUCAAGGACAAGCUCAAGUUCCAUCUCUUCUGUGAACUAUUCCCCAUAGCUCCAUCCUGCCUGCCCUAACCAAACAUAAUGUUGUCCGCACCUUAUAUUUCGGCCUUGGUUACAUAAUUCAAUUGUGUUGCCGUAUACUGUCUUGUAUCCUGUAAUUACUUCAGCACCCAAGGUUUAUUCCCAGGAAUAUUGCAAACUGCUUGACAGGAAGGACUGUGCUAUAUAUUUCUUUUAUAUUCCCCACAAUGCAUAGCCCAAUUCUAGGUGGGCCCUCAAUAAAUAUUCAUUGAGUUAAAUCGAAUAUGGCACAGACUACAUUUAAACCUUCACAAAUUUUCUUUUCAUAAAUUAUACAAGCCUAGACAAGAGGAUUAUUGCAGGGAACCAAUGAAUAUACUCAGUCUGCGCAAGUACACAUGAGAUCGCAGGACCGCGAUGCAGGCUCUUGGACAAAAAGGAGUGGGUAAAAUGGGAUUUGGUGCCACGGGUGGGAAGAGGAAGACUGUGCCGGAUCAGAGAGGAGGGAUGAUAGCAGCUGCAGCAAGAGAAGUGAAUGAGAGCUCACAACCCAGAAAUGUGCCUCCAUACCAGAGAGACUGCCAAGGACUUCUGUUUUUUGAAGUUCUUAACAAGUUAAAUAAUUUGACAAUGUGUUCUUUUGUAGUCAGGAGAUUUGCUAACCAAAUAUCUUGCUGGGUCAGCAAAAUAACACUACUCUCAGUGAUUUCUGCACAGGUGGAAUGCAGCGUUUUCAGAGUUUUAUUAAUAAAAAAAUGCUUCUAUUUCUUUGCGCUGCUCCUGCUCCCAAUUUUCUCUCUUUUUCUGUCUCUCUUCUCUC